UACGGAGGGUGCGAGCGUUGUCCGGAAUCACUGGGCGUAAAGGGCGCGUAGGCGGCCUGAUAAGUAGGGGGUGAAAUCCUGCGGCUUAACCGCAGGGCUGCCUUCUAAACUGUCAGGCUAGAGCACGGUAGAGGCAGAUGGAAUUCCGGGUGUAGUGGUGGAAUGCGUAGAGAUCCGGAGGAACACCAGCGGCGAAGGCGGCAUCCUGGACUGGUCCUGACACUCAGGAGCGAAAGCGUGGGGAGCGAUCCGG
rnacentral:rRNA from 1 species